rnacentral:pre_miRNA from 1 species
UGCAAUGUUUUGACUCUUCGUUUUAUUUAAAAUUUUUUUGUGAUUAAUAGUUUUGUUCUUACCAGAUGAUAAAACAUGAAUAAUAAUUUAUACUGACUAAUAUUUUUAAGUUUUUUACAAUUUCUCAAAUAAGGUGAAUGGUUAAACGUUGGAUAUGAAAAAU